rnacentral:rRNA from 1 species
ACUCCUGCGGGAGGCAGCAGUGGGGAAUAUUGGACAAUGGGCGCAAGCCUGAUCCAGCCAUGCCGCGUGAGUGAUGAAGGCCCUAGGGUUGUAAAGCUCUUUCACCGGUGAAGAUAAUGACGGUAACCGGAGAAGAAGCCCCGGCUAACUUCGUGCCAGCAGCCGCGGUAAUACGAAGGGGGCUAGCGUUGUUCGGAUUUACUGGGCGUAAAGCGCACGUAGGCGGACUAUUAAGUCAGGGGUGAAAUCCCGGGGCUCAACCCCGGAACUGCCUUUGAUACUGGUAGUCUUGAGUUCGAGAGAGGUGAGUGGAAUUCCGAGUGUAGAGGUGAAAUUCGUAGAUAUUCGGAGGAACACCAGUGGCGAAGGCGGCUCACUGGCCCGAUACUGACGCUGAGGUGCGAAAGCGUGGGGAGCAAACAGGAUUAGAAACCCUUGUAGUCCC